UAUGAGGGUGUGGUUUGCUGGCAACAGCGUCCGCCCCAAGUAUUUUUCACCCAUGUCUUUUGCGCACUUUUUGUUUCCUGGGCGAGUUCGCUCGCCACCAGGACCCAACCAUAAACCUUUUUUUAUGCAGUUGCAAUCAGCGUCAGUAUAAUAAUUCAAUUUAUUAAAACUUUCAACAACGGAUCUCUUGGUUCUGGCAUCGAUGAAGAACGCAGCGAAAUGCGAUACGUAGUGUGAAUUGCAGAAUUCAGUGAAUCAUCGAAUCUUUGAACGCACAUUGCGCCCUUUGGUAUUCCAAAGGGCAUGCCUGUUCGAGCGUCAUUUGUACCCUCAAGCUUUGCUUGGUGUUGGGCGUCUUUUUGUCUCUCCCCUUGUUGGGGGAGACUCGCCUUAAAACGAUUGGCAGCCGACCUACUGGUUUUCGGAGCGCAGCACAAAUUUGCGCCUUCCAAUCCACGGGGCGGCAUCCAGCAAGCCUUUGUUUUCUAUAACAAAUCCACAUUUU
rnacentral:sRNA from 1 species